rnacentral:rRNA from 1 species
UUUUGUUUGGAGAGUUUGAUCCUGGCUCAGGACGAACGCUGGCGGCGUGCUUAACACAUGCAAGUCGAACGGAAAGGCCCUUUCGGGGGCACUCGAGUGGCGAACGGGUGAGUAACACGUGGGUGAUCUGCCCUGCACUUUGGGAUAAGCCUGGGAAACUGGGUCUAAUACCGAAUAUACCCUGCUGGUCGCAUGGCCUGGUGGGGGAAAGCUUUUG